rnacentral:lncRNA from 1 species
UUUGAGAGAAUCUAUACUUUUAACAAGUAUGAAUUGGUACCAAAUGCUCUUUAAAAAGUUAUGAUUCUCUUUAUUUUUAUUCUCAAUACUUUUUAUAUAGUUUUAAAAAUAUAUACAUAAUACCAUAAUAUGUAUUAAAUUAAAUUUUUCUAACAUACAAUUUAUAAUAAGCAGAGAUUUAUGAUUGAUAUUAGCUAUAAUUAGCUUUAACAUUACACAAGACAACCAAACCCAAAGCAACUAUAGCCACUUUAUUUUAUUUUAAAAAAGCAAACAUAUAUGAUAUGCUUUUUCUACAUUAUAUCAUUACAUAUAUUGCCUCCAAUAUCUCUGCUUCAACCUUUCAUGUGUUGCACUUCAUUUGCAGUUGCAAGGGUCACAAGUGCAGCUAUCACCACACUUGCAGCCACCAUCCUCAGCUGCAACACUCAUUUCAGCACCAUCAAACUGGAUCUUCGCCGGACCGACGCCAAGAAUCACGGUUUCUGUGGUUUCCAUUUCGGAGUAGCUCAAUCCACUAGACCUCUUGUUGCAUCUGCACAGCAAUAAAAAUCAAAAUAAUCCAAUAAAAUAUUAACAAAUUUUUUGCAAGAUUGAUUCUUAAGAAAAAAAAUAAAUACCAACAGAUUAAUAACCAUAUAGAAAAAAAUAAUUAUAUAGAUUUUAAUGUAAGGAAGAGUUAAGGUGGUGGAUCCUUACUUGCAGCUAUCACCACAGUUGCAACUGCUUCCACAACCACAGCUAGACAUAUUUUCAGAAACUAAGAUUUUUUUUGCAAACAACAAUUGAUAUUAAUUGCUUGGUUAGUGUUAUCUUCUAUAAAAGUGGUGUCUUUUAAUGAUGCUGUGUGACUCCAAUUUAUAAGGUGGAAGAGAAUAAUCAGUGAAAUCUUGACCGUCCACGUGUUGUAAUCUUGUGUUGUAUGGGUCCACAAGCCUACGCUUGGAUCAAUUCCUAGUAGACAUCGUUUUCAUUGCACGUCUUAUUGUGGUGUUGGCGAUAAAAUUGUUGCAUGCUUGCUGAUUGGUUUUCACAAAACAUGAUAUUUUAUUGAUUUUAUAAAUUUACUUUUAUUAACAAAUCAUAUUUGAAUAUAAAAGUCACCGCAACGUUUUUGCUUUUUGUACUUUUGGAGAAACAAUUGUUUGAUGAGAAAUAGAAUUUUGAAGCGGUAGGAUAAGUUUUCGGUACGAUAGAGAGAAGUUAAUAGUGAAAAAGUUAAAAAUAUAUAAUGAGGAAGAAUGAAUUUGAUUAUUUAAAAAUGACAUUUUUUUUCUUUUAUGGUUGAGGUGGUUAAAACCGCAAGCGAGGAGUGUGGCGUGAAUUGUCAUCACUGGUUCGAUUGAUCUGGACUGUUGAUAAUGUUUUAGAGGUGAAAUUGUCUAUUCUCAACGAGGAUGGAGGAACACUUGUUUCUCGCAUGCGCUCCUUUGCUUAGGUUUCGUCCAUUGCCUUGUGAGCGGCCACAAAUUGUUGUCCCCAAACCCUUGCUAUUGCUUUGUAAGAUACGUGUUUGCUAUAUACGUUCUAGACCGAUUGAUUGGCAUGAGGAGAUGAAGAGCUCUGAUGGGACAUCACUAUUAUUGGUAACAUACACAUUAAGUAUCUUUCUAGUAAUAAAUCUGAUGUGUGUUCCUAUGCUAGUUCCUAAUGAUUCUUCGUCUUCCUUAGAGAACUUAAGUACUUUGCAUAAUCUUUGAUGAAAUAUCGAUCGUCGAUGGUGCGUAGUAGAUCAUAUGAUCUCUAGUGGUAAAGGCACAUAUAAAAGAUCUCUAAAGCAUCAUUUUUCUAUUUAUUGUCAUCUGCAACCUGUGAAAGAUCUUAUUCUUGUCUUGCCAACUUCGUUCUUUAUCGAUAACUCUUUAAUUCUAGUUUCUUGCCUAAGCUCACAUGCAAUUUUCGUUUGGUGGCCUUUGAUACGCACACCAACCUACUUGUUUUAAGGUAAAGCCAAUGACUUAUUCUUGCUUUUGCCUUUUUAUAGUAUUUUUUGGACAAUGAGUUUUUUAGAAUGGACAUUCCAUCUUACAUAUUUUGCAAGGAAAUGAGGAUAUUUAUGUUGGACAAGCAUUAACUACCAUACAACGUAAUAUACCUACUAAGACUUCUGAGUCUCAUUUCCCUUGAAGGAGGAACACACAUACAUGUACUUUUUAACUAGUACAAUGACGUCCAUCGUGGGUCUUUGUAAAACUAUCAUAUGCCACACCGUGUUCAUCACCAUCACCCUGCAUGUUGUUACCCUUCACUCAUACACCUAGCCAUUUACAUCCAUGGCAAACAGGAGAGCUUCAUCCCCACACCAGAAGAUACCAGUAGUAUUGGUGAUGUCGAUGCUCUAGCAGAGAUGCGUGCCUCCAUGGAUGAGUUACGUCGCUAUAACCACACGCUGGAGGAUGAUGUCCACAAUAUCAAACAACGCCAAUAGGAUUCCAAUCCCUAGAGGAGAUGUAAAUGUUAGACCCCUAGCCGCUCUCAGAUGAGAUAUGGGGGAUAUAUGCCCCGAGGGUUUCAAACAUCCAUACUUGGCCAAUUUUGAUGGGCGCAAAGAUCCCUACGAGCAUGUCGCCUCCAUCAAUACAAAGAUGGCCAUUAUAGGAGUACCUGCCUCCCUGAAGUACAAGCUGCUAUCUAGCAUUUUUAGGGACGUCGCCCUUCGAUGGUAUAUGGGUUUAUCCGUGCCUCCAUCAACAACUAUCAUAAACUGGUAAAGAAGUUAGUACACCAAUUCCUCGCCACAGAAAGAUGUCCACCACACGCCUAUUUAACAUAUGUCAGGGUCCAUCAAAGUCUCUGAGGGGCUACUUCUACUGCUUUAACGAGGCCACCAUCAAGGUCGUCCCACCUAACCAAAAAUGUUUAUGGUGGCAUUCCAAAAUAGAGUUGAGGCAUAACAAUUUAACGAGUCCCUCCCCCAUAAGCCAACAUUUUAGUUGGCAGAAGUGGUCACUAGAGUAGAGUCCUACAUAAAGGGUGAUGAGAAUAACAAUGAAAAAAAGGCGCACGAUGUCAAAGAGCACGUUCCCAAGGUCGGUGGCUCACAUCACCAGAGGAAGAGAAAUUAUACCUCAACCAUAAGCCAACAUUUUAGUUGGCAGAAGUGGUCACUAGAGUAGAGUCCUACAUAAAGGGUGAUGAGAAUAACAAUGAAAAAAAGGCGCACGAUGUCAAAGAGCACGUUCCCAAGGUCGGUGGCCCACAUCACCAGAGAAAGAGCAACUAUACCUCACCCAAAAAGGACCAUACUACAUUCAAAAGGGUAGGUAAGGUGGCAGAGAACUUCAAACCCUUGAACACUCACCACGAGCUAAUCUGGUACGAGGUUCUCCACCUUCACAACAUCCCUCUGGCGCCUACUCCUAAGACAAAUGUGAUGGGUUCUGAAUUGUUUAGGUGGUGCAAGUUCUAUAUUAUCAAGGGACACCACACCGAAGAUUUCUACUAACUCAAAUAGGAAAUCACUAGAUUAAUACAUGAGGGAAACCUCAAGAAAUAUGUGAGGCGCAACUCCCCCCAUUCGGAAAAUAAGUAUAACCCGCGAAGGCGAGACGAUGUUGGAAGCCCUAGACCCAAAAAAUCCCAAGAUGAUCUUUAAGAAGUAGGUAGUAAAAAUGCGUACCACACACUUAACACCGUAGCUUAAGGAUUAGCCAGGGCAGGGAAACCAACUCCGCCCAAAGCAGGUAUGCUCGCCAGAUCCUGAGUAUGGAAAACCUCCUUAAAGUUAAGACCGAAAGCAAGCGCCAAAUUCACAAGCCAUGAUCGCCUUCUCGGGGAAAGAUGCAGUUGUCAUCCAUCCUCUUAACUAUGACCCCGUGGUCAUUACCGUUAAGUGCGAAAGUUAGGGAAUUAAAAGAGAUAACAUGUACGUGUACGUGUAAAUGGGCAUAUCACCUUGAGGAUCACUUUUAGAUAGCAGGAAAAAGAGAUAAAAGUCAAAUAUCUGGUUAGUGAUGCCCCUUCUUCGUAUAAUAUGAUUAUAGGGCGACCGACCUUUAACCUGCUGGGCGACACCUUGUGAAAUAUGUAUUUGUGCAUGUCUCGAAUAGUUCUUUAUAGAAAAUAUUUGUUUGUUGGUUGAUUUUAGAGAAUAAUGUUUAGGUCGCAUUCAAGCGGUUUAACAUCUACUUGUAUGCUCGCACUAUGGAGGCUGGAUCAUCUGUUUAUAAUUCGUGUAGCAAUGGAUAAAACACUAUUCUUUUAUGAAAAAGUUUAUUUUGAUUGCAUCAGAGUAAAAAGUUAGUUUGGUGAGCUGAGAUUGAUUUUAGGUGGAAGACGAGUAACUGGUUCCAGCAAAGUGUACACUAAGCCUCCGAUACUCGAGAAACAAACAAAAAUACAUUCACCUGCUCCCUUUCUAAUCCAAGUUAAUUUAUAUAUAUUUUUUUAAGUUAACUAAUUACGUUCAUUAUAAUUGAUUCAGUUUUGAAAAUGGAUUUGAUGUAGGUUAACUUGUAAACAUGAUGAUUUAAUUGAAAAUAAUUUGAUUUUUCUUAUUUAUUGUGACAACUAUUCAAUUUGAUUUUUUAUGGAGAAUAAAAAUAGAUUUUUGAUUAUUAGCAUUCACAAUGUUCAUAAAAAUCCUGAAAUCAUCAAUUUAAUUAAUUAUAAAAAAAACAAAUAGCAAAAAUUUAAAACAAGAAAAGGGUGCAAACAAAGGUAGUAAAUUAAAACAAUGGUAUUGAAGUCAAAAAAUACAAAAAAAAGGGAAAGAAAUAAAGGGGGCGUGUGGUAAAAGAGGAGAAUGCCUAAUUGAGAGGGGCCCAAAGCUGGUCAAUAGGGGAAAGGGAGUUGACUUCGUGUGGGCCGCCUGAUUGCAUCAAGCGACCAUGAUGCGUUGUGCAUGAUAAGGCUAGUGAAUGGGGUAGUGUAGGAUCAUGGGAAAGAGAAAAGGAGGGAUCACGCCAUGUGGCGCAUUAUCUGCCACAUAAACUAGUCAAUAGUCAACUACAACAAACGGCCCAGAUUAAUUAUGAAUUUAAGCUUCUUCUUCCCCACUCAUGCAAGGCCAAUUGCACAAUAACAACAUCAAUGACUACUUUUUCUUUGAAAAUCACCUAAUAUGCAUAUAAUUUAACAAAUAAAUAUGCAAAAUUCAUCUAUGAAUCGUCAUGAACAUGAAUCCAUGAUCAAAGUGUAUUAAUUAACAACAAAAAAUGGUGAGAAUUAGGAUUUAAAGUAAACCUGAAUUUGAUUGAGUGGCUCGAUCCGGCCAUAACUUGAUGUUUUGAAUCACUUUGCAUUUUUUCUUCAAACGGUUGAUUUUUUAAUUUUCCGGGUUUUUGUUCUUGAAUGUUCAUGAACACUCAUGAACAUCAAUAACACUAAGAACACCAAUUUUUCAGAAAUUCAUAUUUCAAUUUAUUUUGAACAAAUGAUUAAAGGAUAUAAAACAUAGUAAGUGUAGAAACAAUUUUAUGUAAAAAAAAUCACACAAAAUACAAUGGUCAAGCCUUACCUAAGCGAAAAAACCUCAAGAAUGCGAUGAACACUGAUGAGCAACCCAAAUUCCGAUCAAGCUCCAAUAUUGCUCCAUCUAAACUCGUUUUUCAUGUCUCUUUGUAGAUCUAAACACCUAUUUAUCUUCUAUACCUCAUUCCAUCAUAAUUUCACAAUUUCUACAUUUUUUUUCAAAAUCGAGUUCAAAAUGGAUUUGCGCGAAUUUGAGUUUUGGUGUAGUUGUGUGUAGUUUUUUUUUGUCUAUACUAUGUAAUUGGACUCAUAUUUAUAAUAAUUUUCAUGUUAACAUAAAAGGAAAACAAGUCAUAGUGACAAAUCGCGACCAAUUAAAAACAAGCAUGACAAAUUGCGACCAAUUAGAAACAAGUAUGACACAUUGCAACCCUUUGAACAUGUAUGAUCAAAGAUCGUCGUCAACCUGAAAGAUCGGUGCUUAGAUCAAAGAUAAAAAUAUCUUCGUCAACCCGAAGGUCGAUGCUUACAUCAAGGAUAAAAAGAUCGUUGUCAACUCGAAGGUUGAUGCUUAGAUCAAGGAUAAAAAUAUCGUUGUUAACCCGAAGGUCGAUGCUUAGAUCAAGGAUAAAAAGAUCGACGUCAACCCGAAAGUCGAUGCUUAGAUCAAGGAUAAAAAGGUUGUUGUCAACCCAGAGGUUGAUGCUUAUAUCAAAGUUAAAAAGAUCAUCGUCAACCCGAAAGUUGAUGCUUAGAUCAAACAUGAAAAGAUCAUCGUUAACUUAGAAGCUUGAUGCUAAAAUCGUGGGAUAGGUCGUCGCCAACUCAAGGGUCAGCGCUUGGACCUACAAAUGAGAAAAGAUCACCGUCAACCCAAAGGUCGAUGCUUAGAUCAAAUAGGAAAGGAUCAUCGUUAAUAUGAAGAUUAAUACUUAGAUCAACAUAGGACAAGUUUGUCAUCAACCCGAAGCUCGACGUUUAGAUCACGGUAAAGUGAUCAUCGUCAAUCCGAAGAUUGAUGCUUAGAUCAAGGUGAGAUAAAUCAUCACCAACCAAAGGGUCAGUGCUUAGAUCGCACAUGAUAAGAUCAUCAUUAACAUGGAGGUUGAUGAUGCCUUAGAUCAUUACAGGACAAGAUCGUCGUCAACCCGAAAGUCAAUGCUUAGAUGAAGACAAACUGAUCAUCGUCAACCCAAAGGUCGAUGCUUAGAUCAAGGAUAAGAUCUAAGAAUGAUGAUUAGAUUAACAGAUAGAUCAUGGCCAACCCAAAGGUUAAUCCUUAGAUCAAACAAGAAAAUAUCUUCGUCAACUUGAGAGACCACACAAAUUCAAAUCAGUCGGAAAUUCAAGUGGAAGCAGUUGAGAAAGUUACGAUUGGUACAAGCACGAAAGAAAGUUUUUCUGUCAACUAGUGCAAUAUUGAAACCACACCACCAAAACUAGAUAAUAUUGAGAGACUAUCAAUUAUAUUCGAAAGUAUUCCAAACCCGUUCCUGGAUAUUACAUUAAGUCAUGAUCCAAGUCAAUUAUUUGUACUUUCUAAGGAUUCAAAUAAUGAAGAUUUGAAGGGACAUGAGUACCUAGACAAUUCCAUAUUACAAAUUUGGUGUUCGUAAGUAUAGCUUUUAUGUUGAUUUUUAUUUAUAUUCAUAAGUUCUUGUACAUUAACAUAAAGAUUUGACUCUUGCAGGUUCAUGCAUGAGUUCUGUGUUGAAAGUAAUACAAAUAAGUAGUAUUUCUUAGAUCCAUCGCGGCUUGGUCUUACUCACGGUUCGACAGGAAACAAUAUCUUUGUUUACAUACAAGAAAAGUUGAAAGAGAACAAAGAGUAUUAUUUGGUCCGUUUUUACUGUGAGUAAGUAUAUAUUAAUUUGUAUUUUCCUUUAUAAAUCAAAUUUAUACAUAUUAUUAAUUAUUCUGAAUUUUUAUGCAUUGAACAUUGACAACUAAUUGUUAUAUGUCCGAGGAAAAAUGUUAUAAUUGUGUUUUGCUCGUUGCGCUUUGUGCUGCCUAAAGUUGUGGUUAACACUUUGAAUGCGUAAGUGGUAUUAUUCUUAAUAUUCAAAUUUUAAUUUUAGAUUUGAAUAGUUUCUAUUCAUUUUUAAUUUUAACCAACAUGUGUAGAAUGAUUGAAGAACAUAAUGCAAUCAAACAAAAUUUACUUGGUUAAAAGCCAAACUAUGGAUAUCCAAAAGUAAGUAUACUACUUGUGCUUUUUGACUGUAUUAUUUGUGUGUAUUAGUGGUAUAAAUAUAUGAAAUUAUUCGUAGUGACGAAAACAACCCAACAACUAUUCUUGGGGAUACUAUGUUAUAAGAUAUAGACAUUACAAAUGGAUGGAUGAAGCACCAGGUAUACAUAUAUAUACACAUAUUUAUAUUUCUUAAGUUAAUGUUGUUGUUGUUAGCUUAUCGUAGUUUAAAGUUUGUUUUAAUUAUGAGUUUAAUGACAGAACACCAUACUCAAAAGAAGAUAUAAAUGACAUCCGAUCACAUUGGAUCAUUGCCUUCUAUUCAUUUUUUUUUGAAUCUUGACAACAAUAAUUUUUCUUGGUUGUUAUAAUAUUAAUUUGUAUAUGUACAUAGGUUUUGUCAUUUUUAUAUGCAAAUAUGUAAAUGUGUGUAUUUUGUAUUGAUGAGAAUAAUGUAAAUGUGUACAUUUGGUUUUGAAAGCAAUGAUAAUUUAUUAUUAUGUAUUUAAAAGAUUUAAAAUGAUAUGAUAUAUUUCAAUUUUGUCAUAUAUUUUGUAAUUUCUAUAUAAGAAAUGAUACAGGUCAGUGAAAAUAAGAUUUACAACAAUGUAAAUUUGAUAUUAUGUGUUUACAGGCUAAUGAAAAUAAGAUUUAUAAUGAUAUGAUACAAACUAGUGAAAAUAAAAUUUAUAAUGAUAUGAUACAAGCCAGUGAAAAUGAGAUUUAAAACAAAUUAUAUAUGAAAAUAAAUAAGAUUUAACCCCUCGAUUAUCACCUAAAAUCAAAGUAAAAGUAUACCUUAUUACCUCAAUUUUAAAUAAAACCGAGAGGUAUAUGACACACGCAACAAAAUUUGGAAAAUAAAAAUAUGUUAUUGCUAGGGAUCGAACCAAUGACCAUUUACUUUCUAAAAUCGAGGAAAAAAUGGCAAGUUAUCAUGUCACCCUUCGUUACCUCGUAUGUGUAAUCGAGAUAAAAGUCAUUUCGCGACAGAGAUAAGAUGUGUUAUUUAUAAUAGUGUUAUCAAUUGGAUAUGGCAAGAUCACGGGAAAGAGAAAAGGGGGACAACUACAUGUGACACGAGAUCUGACACAGAAACUAGUCAACAAACAACUGCAACGAAUGGUCCUGAUUACUUUUGGAUUUAAGCUUCUUUUUCCCUACUCAUGCAAGACCAAUUGCACAACAACAACAAUGAUUAUUUUUUCUUGGAAAAUCACCAAAUAUGCAUGGAAUUGACAAAUAAAUAUGCAAAAUUCAUCUACGAAUCAUCACGAACAUGAAUCUAUGAUCAAAGUGUAUCAAUUAACAAUAAAAAAUGACAAAAAUUAGAAUUUAAAAUGAAUUCAAAUUUGACUUUGAGGGACUCAAUCCGGCCAUAACUUAGUGUUUUAGACCAAAAAUAAUAAUUAAUUUAAAAAUAUAUACAUAAUACCAUAAUGUAUAAGAUUUGUCUAAACAUACCAUUUAUAAUAAGCAGAGAUUUAUGAUUGAUAUUAGCUAUAAUUAGCUUUAACAUUACACAAGACAACCAAACACAAAGCAACUAUAGCCACUUUAUUUUAUUUUAAAAAAGCAAACAUAUAUGAUAUGCUUUUUCUACAUCAUAUCAUUACAUAUAUUGCCUCCAAUAUCUCUGCUUCAAACUUUCAUAUUCAUUUGCAGUUGCAAGGGUCACAAGUGCAGCUAUCUCCACACUUGCAGCCACCAUCCUCAGCUGCAACACUCAUUUCAGCACCAUCAAACUGGAUCUUCGCCGGACCGACGCCAAGAAUCACGGUCUCUGUGGUUUCCAUUUCGGAGUAGCUCAAUCCACUAGACCUCUUGCUGCAUCUGCACAGCAAUAAAAAUCAAUUAUACAUAUUAAUAUAUGUUUUUAAUUUAUGGACGGCUAAAGGGAAACCUUAUCUUAUUUUAAUACCAUCAAAAAGCUUUUUAAGAUAUUCAAGUGACAAUUGAUUCAAUAUUGGCCAUCAAUUCAUAGUCUUUAGACAGUUAAAAUCUGAAAGAGAAAAAUCUAUGGAGAGAAUUAAAGACAAAAACUUUUGUUUUCUUCUUUUGAGGCAGCUAAUAAAAGACAUAACUCUUUACAAAGUAUCUACUUUUCUUGAGUAGUGAUAAAUCUUUUCAAAAUAUUCUAUAUUUUUGACAAAUAACCAAUAAGAUUGUUGGGUUUAUAUUUUAAUUUAAAACUUCUUAAUUUUAAAAAGUAAAAAUUUAUUUUAGAUUUAAAUUGUCUAAUCCCAAUAAUCAAAUUUCUUAAAACAUUUCAUGUCAAUAAAUCUGAUUUUUAAAUUUUUAAAUGAAUUUAUUUUAAAUUUAAAUUGUUUAAUAAAUUUAAAAAAUCUGAAUUAUAAAAAUCAGGUUAAUCAAUUAUUCAGUAAAUAUGAACUUUAUUUUAAUUUUUGUUUAGAAUAAUAAUAAGAAUGAGGAUAGUCAAAAGUAACCAUAAAAAAUGGAAGUAUCUAAUUUCAUAAAACCCAACCAAAAAGUACUUAAAAAAUACAAUAUUAUAUUAACAAAUAUAUGUAAGAUUCAUUCAUAAGAUAAACAAUAAACUCGAAAGAAUUAAGGUGGUGAAUCCUUACUUGCAGCUAUCACCACAGUUGCAACUGCUUCCACAACCACAGCUAGACAUAUUUUCAGAAACUAAGAUUUUUAAUGGUGCUGUUAUCUUCACUACAAUUGAUGUCUUUUAAUGGUGCUGCGUGCCCUCAAUUUAUAAGGUGGGAGAGAAUAAUUUGUGAAAUCUUGACCGUCCACGUGUUGUAAUCUUGUGUUACUUGGGCCCACAAGGCUACCCUUGGAUUAUUUCCACGUAGACAUCGUUUUCAUUGCACGUCUUAUUGUGGGGUUGGCGAUUAAAUUGUUGCAUGCUUUGCUUCAAGUCAAAUGUGAUUAGUGUCUUAAUUGGUUUGCACAAAAAUUGAUUUUGAAUUUAUUUUAAGAAAUUUAUUGCACUGAAAUAUUAAGUUUAAAGGUGGGUUAGAAUUCGUGGUUUCAAGGAAAGACUAUUUUAGAGAUAAAGUUAAGGCCUCUUUUGUUUUGGUUUCUUUAAAUGAUUUUUUUAAUGUUAUAUAAUUUUGAUAACAAAAAUUUAUAAAAAAUGUAUGAUGUUAUUGUCAUAUUGUAUAAAAUUAAGAGCUUUUUUUUGAAAUUGUAUAAUGUACUAAAUUCUAAAAAGAUUUAUCUAAGAUAUACAAUAUACACAUUGUAUUUUUUUUCCAAUUCUCUUUGUCUCCUCCAUUUAUCAUCUCAUUUGUUUUUAUCAUCAUCACAAUAAUCACUUUCUUUUAUUUAUUGUGCUUUUGAUAAUUAUUUUUUAAAAUUUUACUUUACUUUUAUUAGUAACAUGUGGUUAUAUUUUCGUGACAAGUGUGAAUGAAAUUGAUAUCAAUAGAUUUGCAACACUCGCACAUAAUCAUCCACAUACAAUGGACAAAAGUGGUAUCGUGGUAUUAAAUUGACGGAAUAGCUUUUUUAAGGAUAGAUGGAGAUAAAUACUAAAUAUGGUUGUUUUGUUUGUUGCUUAUGUAUUGUGUCAUUACAUCAUAUUUGUACAAGGGCAUGCAUGGUAGCAACAACUUCUGAUGAAUUUUUUUAUAAAAAAAAAUUAGCAACCGCAAGUGCUUUUGUAUUUUUUUUGAUAUUGAUGCAAAAUAUAUAUGAAAAAAAAUAAUGAAAUACUAGUGUCAUAGUUUUGAUCAAAAUGUGUAAAUUUUUUUUUUAAAAUUGAUCUCUGUGGAUCUCCACGGGGAUCUGUGGGGAUGAAGAUGCAAAAAAAUAUUCUCCUAUGACGGGGAUCGAGGACGAGAAUGGAGAAUAAAUUGGGAGGCGGGUGGGGAGAUGGAAAUCAUCCUCCAAACAUUCUCUACCCGUUGACAUUCCUAAUUAAAAUUUUCCAAGGUCGAAUUCAAGACCCCGUACCUUUAUGGUUGUGCGAAUGAAAUUUUAAUAAUUAUUAUGUUUAAGAUAUUAAACUUGUAUCAAUGAAUUUUUUAAAUAAUUACUCAUUCCGUUCCUUUUUAAGUGUCACUUGAAAAAAAAAUUGUUCCAUUUUAAAUGUCACUUACAAAGUUCAAGGUAGUAUUAACUGUAUUUUUGUCAAAAUUACUCCUACGUAAUUAUUACAGAGAGAAAAAGUAAAAUGAAUGUAAUAAAUAAUUAAGGGUAUUAUAGGUAAAAGAAUAAUUAUUGUUUGAAAAAUAUCAAUAAUGAUUAACUUUCUUGAUAUGUGUAAAAAGUUAAAAAAUGACACUUAAAAAGAAACAGAGAGAGUAUUGUUAAUUUGUCUACAAAUAAAAUAAAAUAAAAUUCAAACAUACCUCCAUCAAUUUAAAUGCUUUUAUUUUGGAUUAAAAACAAGCAAUGUUCAUUCAUUUAAAUUGAUCGAAUAUACUUAAUAAAAAUAAUACAAAUUCUAUUAAAAACGAAAAGAUUAAAAGUGCGAACAAACUCACAUAAUCUAAGUUAAUAGCAUAAAAUAACAAAUUGUGUACAUACAUGACUCGUGUUCUACAAUGUUGAAGAUGGAGGGAUAUUGCUACAAAAUACGUUGCGAAAAACAAUUUUUUUAAGUCGAUCCUUACGAAAGAACUUGAUCAAUAAUAAGAUGAUUACCUCUUGUGGUGAUUUUCUAUUGAUGCAAAAUAUAAAGAGAGAUCUUGAGCAUUGGACUAACGACAACACCUCUAUUCAGUCCACAAAAUAUAAUGUUUUCAAUCUCUGUGCUAGCUGAUCUGAAUGAAGAGAGAGAGAGAGAGAGAGAGAGAGAGAGAGAGAGAGAGAGGAGAGAGAGAGAGAGAGAGAGGAAGAGAGAGUCCAAGAUUAGAGAGAGAGAGAGAGAGAGAGAGAGAGAGAGUCCAAGAUUCUUAAGUGUUAGAUUUUUACAAAUUAAAUUUUGUCAAGCAUGAAUACUUCAACACAAAUGUUCUAUUCAUAGAACCGCUUGUGUGGACUGCAAGCUUAACAAGUCCACUUAAGCAUACCGUACCUUAUAAUGUACCGUAUUUCACAUAGUACCUUAAGAUGUUAUAUAUUCCAUUUAAAUACAUCAUAUAUUACAAUGUUAUGUAUUUUACUUAAGCAUAACAUAGCUUACGAUGUUCCGUGUUCUACUUAAAUAUACCAUACCUUAGGAUGUUUUGUAUUUCACUUAAGCAUAGUGUACCUUACAAUGUUCCACAUUUCUCUAAUUAACACUUGUGAAUUAUAAGACAACAAAAUCAAAUAGGAUUCACUUAUUUAUUUUAUCUCUCAUAAUCUGUUCUUAUGCGAGUGACCCUAUAUGUCUCGUAACAUUAAUAGUUAUAUUAAAUCACACAUUUAAUAUAAUAAAUAACGAGCAAUAUUUAGAUACACACCACUACUACCAAAAUAACAAAUAAUGUCAUGUGAUAUGAUGAAACAUUUCCAUGAUAUUAUUUAUGGAUAAAAUUACCUUUUUUUUUAUCUUAUGUAUAUAUUGAACACAAGACAUAGAUUGUGUCACCGUUGCCUAAUUCAAUAUUGAGCCUAAAGACAUUUAUCUUGUUAUACGUGACAUGAAAAUUAAAUCUAGGUCACUCACGUCCAUUAACAUAUUUUAUGGAGUACCUAUCAACACUAUCUUUAUGGUUAUCGUAUUACGGAUAUCGUUUGAAUGAUAAUGAAGUAUUUGACUCCACAUUCACAGACCAUGGUAAAUUCAGAUUGAAAGGUGGUAUACACCAUUAUCCCAAAGAGAAUAACUUAUGACACUUGCAUAAUAUUUUAUUUAGUAUUCUCAUUGUAAAUAAGUCUUAUAUAAAUAUUACUCAUAAUAUUUAGACAUAUGUGAAAAUUUGAUAACUCUCUAUCUAUGAUCCAUGAGACAUGAUCAUCAAUUUAUCCACAUAAUAAUCUUAAUACUUUAAUGUUAUCCCACUUUACAAUAAACUUGAUUGUAGAUACUUUAAGAAUAAUACCUUUAUGUUUCAUGAUGUCUCAUGAUUAAGUAACACUUAAUAUUUCUUCAAAUCGACUAACUACUCUAAGUACUUUAUUACUUUAAAAAACAAACAUAAUAAACUUAUUAUUAUUAUUAUUAUUAUUAGAGUUGAAUAUGUUUGUAGUCCGCCUAAAUAUCUCAAUCUUCAAUUUAAUCUCUCAAAAAUUUUAUUUAAAGAAUGAUCCUGUUAAUACUUUUCAUCCACGCUUUUGGUCUCUCCUGCUAAAGUUUAUUAAAAGAAACUGACAUGGCAUGUUAUAUGAAAAAAUUUAUGAUUGGCCAAACAUGUGGUAAUGCCAGCGUGGUAAGAUGCUUACAUGGAUGCCACGUGCCUUUUGUCACCCAUUUUAUAAUUUUUAUAUUAAUAAAAUUUCUAGUGAUAUAAUUUUUUUCCGCUAAAUUCGCCGCUAACAUGAGCAUCAUACCAAAACCCAAAAACCGUAGUUAAUAUGUGGCUAAUCCGCAACUAAUCCUUAGCUAAUUCAAAUACAUCAUUCUUAUGACCUAAACUUCAUUUUUUUAAUGAUUUUUGACAUUAAAGUUUAUCAAAUCAUAAGGAUCUCUCUAACAAUUUAUUUUUUGACUUGAGAUGAAUCAAAUAUAAAUUAUUUAACUGUCGAUUUUCCAUGAAACGAAAACAAUGCAAACAUUUGAAUAUGAUUCAACUUUAAAGGAUCUGCAAAGUUUCAUGGUAUUUUAAAUAAGUUUCGAUUUACUUUUAUUUUCCGAUCGAAACACGUAUAAAUGUGUUUUUUUCAAGAGACAAAACAACAUAUUUAACCCUAUCAGUGGUAAAAAGGGUGACAUAAUUUAAUUAUUGUCAUGAUCUUUUUUGCAUGUUAGUGUAUACUAUUACAAGGAUCUCUCUCACAAAAAUUGAAUUUUGUUUGAUGUGAGAGUAAUUAAAUAAGUUUUUUUUUUAAUUGCCGAUUUUUCAUGAAACACAACUAACGCAAACUUUUUCAUAUGAUUGAAUUUUGAGCUAAAAUUUUGUAGAACUUACUACAUAACACAUAAAAAUGAUUUGAAGAUUUUUUGUGGAAUUUUGAUUGAUUUUAGCUUAUUUUGAUUUAUUUUCGCCUCUUGAAAAAACACAUUUAUAUGUGUCUCGAUCGAAUAAUCAAAAUAAAUCGAGAAUUAUUCAUAAUGUAAUGAAACUUUUUAGAUCAUUUUUAUAUAUUUUGAGAUAAGUCCCUGCAAAAGAAUAGUUUAAAAUUCAAUCAUAAUUCAACUUUUACCUUGUUUUCGUUUCAUAGAAAAUCGGUGCUUAAAAAAAUUCAUAUUUGAUUAAUUUCAAAUAAAAUAAAUUAAACUUUUAUGACAAAUGUUUAUAAUGUGAUAAACUUCCAUGCAAAAGAUCAUUAAAAAAAACAAAGUCUAGGUCAAAAGAAUGUUGUAUUUGAGUUAAUUAGAAAUUAGCUACGGAUUAACUACAAAUUAGCUGUAGUUUCUGAAUUUCGGUAUGAUGUUCACGUUAACGACAAAGUUUCUAUCGCAACAAAUUUUAUUAAUAUAAAUAAGAUAAAUUAGUGACAAAAUGCCAUGUGUCAUCCAUGUUAGCAUCUUUGUCACACUGACAUUGUCACGUGUAUGCUUUGAAAUGAAAAGUUUUCAUUGUCAUGCCACACCAGCAUCUGUUAACAAACGUUAGUUAGAGAGACCAAAAGUAUGGAUGAAAAAUAUUAUAAAGACCGUUUUUUGAAAAGAAAAAUUUGAGAGAUUAAAAGUGAAGAUUGAAAUGUUUAGGAGGACUACAAACAUGUUUAAAUCUUAUUAUUAAUAGAUAAUUCGAUAAAAUAUCAAGAUGUAAUAAAAUUAUAAGUCUCUAGAACUUACACCAAUAAAAAACGUCAAAAUCAUUGAUGGAAUAAGCCCUUAAUUAGAAUCAAAUGAACACUACGACAAAACUACUAAGAAAAAAUGCAGCACAAAAUUGUAAUAAAUUAACAAAAUUCCAUACAAAAAUUUAAAUAAUAAUAAUAAUAAUAAUAAUUUAUUUAAAUAAAAACCAAUCAAGAUUAAGGUGUUUUACUGACCCUAAAUUACCUCUCUUUUAUAGAUGACAAAGAAGACAAAACAAAACCUUUUUUUAAAGAGACUAAUAAAUCUAUUUUAUCCUAUUUAUUUAAAUACUUCAUUCCUAUGUUUUAUUUAAAUACUACAUUCAUAUGUUUCUCCGCUCAUAGAUGAUACUUUGUUUGGAUAGAUAAAUAUUUUAAUAUGGAUAAGGAUGAAUGGAUUUGUAAAAAAAUAAAUAAUAGUCUUUGUCAUGAUAUUUGAUGUUCUAUAUAAUUUAUUUGAGGAAAGAUCUAAACAUGCAAGAUGGGGAUUUAAGUUGCGUUUAGUUAAAAAAAAAAAAACUUAACUAAAUCGUUUCUCUAAUGGGAGAGCUACCUCUUGUCUCUCUACAACCCUCGAAUUUCACCUUUAUGCAUAAAGAAUCUAGUCCACUAUAACCAAACAUGAAUGCAAGUAUUCUAUACGCCUCUUCAAGGUCUAUGUAUUCUUUAACUAAACUUAUCAUGGAUUCUUUCAACAAAAUAAUAAUGGUUAACAUGUAUUCUUUCACCAAAAUAAUAAUGGUCAUUUUGUCAACCUUAAUAAUAUUUUAUUUUUAUUCUUGAGUUUUUUUUAUUAAAAUAUUUUUCAUUACGAUUUAUAAUAAUAAUUGUGACAAUAGAUUAAAGAUUAUGAAAUUUGAAUUCCAUCAUCAAUAUUUUUUAUUUAUUUUUUUUAUAUAAAAAAAGCAUGUGUCCCUUGACUUAUAUACUUAUAUUAUUAAAUAAAAAUUAAAAAAUAAUUAAUUACAGUUAUUUUAUCAACUUAUAUGUUUCAUAUUUCACUAUGAUUGAUAUUAACAACUAUGGUGAAAUUCUUUAUUGCAAAAUUAAAAUAUAACAUGUUCUUCAUUUUCUUCAUAACACAUGUCCUAACGAUCCAGACGACAGCGACAACAAAAUCUUCAGCAUCUUCAUUUAUUUGGAACAUCCAGUCUUCACUCUCUUCAUUCAUUAUUGAUUGAUCCCUCGUAAGAAUUCACAUCCUAGAUCCAAAAUAUUUCAAGGAAUGUUAAUUCUUCAAAAGCUUAGAAGAACUCAACCUAUCCACCUUCCUCUGUAUCCCCUCCAAGAAGGUAUGUUCAUCCUUAGUCAAGAUGUUCUACUCAAAUCUUCACAUCAUAGAUGGAAUACCUUAAAUUGAAGUAAAGAAGGCAUAUAAUAACUCUAUCAGUAGAAGAAUUUGGAAAUAUUCUAAAUAUCCAUAAUGAAGAUCCCAUUGUCGAACUCGGAGACAAAGCAGAAAAGUACAACCACCAGCUCACUGCAUCCUCUGUUAUGAAGGAUCCAUCACCCAACAUGCCAAAUCCCUUCACUGCUGGAUAUAUCCACCUUGAAAGUCAUAUGAUUCACUAUGUGAUCAAUCUCAUACUCUUUUCAAGAAAAAGCAACUUCAUCCUCAUAACCCAAGUUGAUGUAGAAACAAUAUCGUUAAUAGAACACAAAAUCAAGGUGAAAUUGGCAAAACACAUGAACGAGUAAAUGAUGGAAAACAUGAAAGAAGGAGUAUAACUGCCAUAUGAAAAUCUGAUCACAAAGAUUUUGAAAGAUACUGGAUAUGAUUUCAAAGAUGAAGAGUUCAAGGAAGAAAGAACUAAAAUAGGAUAAUUAGUCCUACCAUCAAUGAAGUUUGAGAUGAUCAAUGGAAAAGUAAUUGAAAAUCCCCUCUCAAACAAGAAGAAAAUAAAAGCAAAUAGUCAAGAAGCACCCAUAGAGUUAGAUGACUUCGACUACUCUAUUCCUCAACUGCCCAUAAUAAUAAUAUCCUCAAAUUCAUAAUUGGAAAGAUAAUUGUGAUUAAUGACAAAAUUGACUUUCAUAACCCAACCAUUUAUCCCAGACCAAGCACAACUACCUAAAGGCCUUUUUCUUUGAUGAUUUUAACACAUAAUAGUCUCACUUAUGCGUUUGAACUCAUGCUCUCUAUAACUCUUAAAUUCAACAAUUUCUUUUCUUGUACUCUGAAUUCAUAGUAAUUUCUAUUAACAAAACAAGUUUUUCCUUUACUAAAUGUUUAUUUACCUAUGUUUUUAUAUUUAAAUUCAUCUUAGUGUAUAUUUAUCUGUCUUUUUUAUUUCUACAAAGGGGAAGAAGUGUACUCUCAGGGGGAGUAGAGUAUACUCUUUACCUAAUUGAGGGGGAGUUUGAUUACUCCAAAUAUUUAUUGUUGUUUAUAUUACACUACGCCAAAAACUGGAAUAGACAGCGCACCUUAGAGGGCGCUUUAUUACAAAAGCGCACUCUAAAGUGAAGCGAAAAAAUAAGGAGCGAACAAUUGGAAUAGACAGCGCACUUUAGAGGCGCUUUUUGUAAUCAAAGCGCCUCUCAGAGAGUGAAGCGAAAAAAAAUAAGAGAGGCAGAUAGAGGGAAACCAAUACAAGGCGCUUUUUAAAACGCCUCUAAGGUUACCCUUAGAGGGCGCGUUGUUGAAAAAGCGCUCUACUACAGUCCAUGUUGCAUUUCCAGUUUAAUAAAGCGCACUUAUUCGAAAGCCUUAGAGAGCGCUUUCAUAACGCGCCCCUUAGGCCCCUUAUUAGAGGCCUUUUUUUUCCACAAGCUCACUCUAAGGUCCCUUUAGUAAAACAUAAAAUAUAACAUUACUGCCGCCUCUGUUGUUACAUUCACACUCUCUGUUAUUUUCGUGUAAUAUCCUUUUCAACGUUAGCGUCUUUCAACUGCUACUAUAUUCGCUACUUUCUAAGGCGUUCUCCUUCCAGAAUAAGAAAUAAAGUUCCUCUGUUAGAUUCUACCGACGUUUCCUCCCUUCUUUUAAUCGUUGUUAGCUGUUCGUCUUUGACACAUAAAGGUUUUUCCUGUUCUUUCGGAUUUAGACGCUAUUUUCGAGUGAUGUAGCAAUUUUGGAUCCGGGUGUUGUUCAGGUUCGCCCGAAAGGAAACUCAAUUUGUAACGUUCCAGAAAUUAUAGACAUACUGGAAAAAUUUAUGUCAUUUAGGUUCUUGCUCGAUUUUAACUUGUGGUAGAGACAAUCUGGUCGCACUUUUACUUAUUGUGAGUCUGGCUUUUUUCGAUUAAUUUUGCAUUCACUUACUAUUUGUUGGGGGUAAUAAGAAUUAAUCCCUACUCCUUGCGGUUUUCUUCAUCUGGCAAUGGCUUUGGUCUUUUUGGUUGUUUCGAUAUCAUUUCUACUUGAAGGUAAUAAUAAUUUUUUGUUUGUUAUAUUUUUUGAACAUUUUUUUUUGUUUAUUUUUAUAUAUACAUAAAUCAUUAACUAGAUAUUACACAUGCAUUCAGCAUAAAUGUUCAGAACCAAUUUUUGUAACACAGAUUCACAGGAUUAUAUUAAUCAGUAAAUUCUUCUUUAUAUUUUGGUUUUUAUAUGGAUAAUAUAUUUAUGUUGACUUGCUCCAGGAUAUAUAUCACCCCAGAUUCUGAUGUUAUAUGCGACAUUGAGCCUCGUUCCGGUGCUGCGAAGCUUUGUGUUGUAAACAUACUAACUUUAAUUACACAAAUGGAUCGUUCUAUUGUUUGUUUCCCUAUAUUCAUUAUUAUAAAACUUUCAAUUCUUUCAGGUCAGGUUAUGCAUUCUCUCUGGGAUUAGGAGCAAUGCCAUGGAUAUAAAGUCUGAGGUACAAUUUUCUUCAAAUAAAAUAUGCAUCGACAACGCCUAAUGAACAAAACCUUGUGUAAUAUAAUGUGAUAGUUGAUGUGUUAAUAUAAUUUUACAUAUAUAGAUUCUUCCGAUUAACAUCAAAGGCCUAGCUGGAAGUUUGCAAACACUUGCCAAUGGUUCUUAUUCCUGGCUUGGUUACAUUAACACGCAAAUUUGCUCUUGGAUUGGACUUCGGGAGGUUUGUGUGCAUUGCCUAUGUUAAUUUUCUAUAAAUAUCAUUGUUUCUAACCAGAAGCUUCCUAUGUUUCAUCAGGAACCUUCACGAUAUAUACUAUCAGUGUGUGUUUUCACAGCAGGAUUUGUUGCCAUUUGGGUCCCCGAGACAAAGGGAAAAAACUCUUGAAGAAAUACAACAGUUUUUCAGAUGAAGUUUCCUUUCGAGUAGCACUCAGCUAGUGUUCACUCAUGUAUCUCACAUUCAUAUUUUUUCUGAAUCAAACUCAAUUCAUUUUUGUGCUCUUUGGUCUUGUUAAACAUAUGAAAAAUACCAAACAGUGUGAUUUUCUAAUCUAGCAGCAUACUUGCAUUUUGUUGUUGAAUUGAUUGAUUAUAAACAAAUAAAUGAAAGAGAAGUGGUUAUUAUACAUUUCAAUUACGAGUAGCAGUGGUUUCGGUUCAUGACAUUUCAAAUAGCAAGAGGAUCAUAUAAUACAAUAAGCAUUAUCAGUAUUUGUAUUUUAAUAUUAUAAAAGCAUAAAAAGAACCUUUAGUUUGCACUUUAUAUACACCAGCAUGUAUGCCAUUUGUGCACGGCUCUCUGUGUGCUGCAACAAAACCUGAAGUGAAUAUGGCACAGAGACAUGUGAAUGCAUGUAAAUUUAAUAAUCCACCCCAACUUUAGAGGGCGCUUCCAAAUAAGCGCCCUCUAACCCUUUAAAUUUCCACUUUAGAGGGCGCUUUCCAGUAAAAGCGCCCUAAACCCUUAAAGGUUUCCACUUUAGAGGGCGCUUUCCAGUAAAGUGCCCUCUAAGCUUAAAGUUCCACUUUAGAGGCGGCUUUCUUUAAAAAGCGCCCUCUAAAGUGGCCCUUAAAGGGCUUAAAGAGCCCACCUUUAGAGACGCUUUCCAGACCAAAGAAAAAAAGCGCUGUCUUUACCUAUGCCAGCGCCAGAUUAGAGGGCGCUUUAAAGCGCUGUUAUAGGCCAAAAAAAGCGCCCUCUUUUCCCUUAUUUGGCGUAGUGUUACCACAUCUAUGAGAGAUGAGUUGUCAUCAUAAAAAGGGGAAUAAAGCAAAACCUUAUUUUGCAAUUCAUAGAGCACGAUUUUGAUGAUGACAACUAUUAAAGAUGUUCAUGUCUUGGAUAGUGAUAACAACUAAAGUCAAGCAUAAAGCAGUUAAACGGUUAAAAAUGCAAACCAGGAUAUUUGGGUUUGAUGAGACUUGACUAUCUGAUGAUGGCAACCAAAAGAUAUAUAUUUCGAACCUCAUAUUGAAGUGAACUCAAGCAAGUAUCUACAAGAAAGAAAGCAUUUGACAAUUCUUGUAGUACAAAAAAUACCUGUCUCGAUUGUCUGAGUUAAUACUUUGUAAAGCAUGAAAGAAUUCUUGUAAAAUUGUAUGGAUAAAUCACACACACACGAAAAUAUUUUUGAAACUAGAACUGUUUUUCAAAAAUAUCUUGAAUUUGUGCCAAAUUAGUUAUAAGUUAUUUGAAAAGCUAUGAAGGAUUUUUUGUCUUUGCAAAUUGAUUGGCACAUUGACCCAAUCGAUUGGGUCAGUUCAAAAAUGUGCCCUAAACAAUUACGGCAACAUCUUAAUGAGUUGUAACGGAUAAACAUAUUUUAUUUACAUUUUUAACUUGGUAAUUGAUUAAUUUGGAGGCUACCAAUCGAUUGGUAUAUGCUACCAAUCAGUUGGCAAGUCAUAAAUUGGCCUUAAAAUAACUUCCUUUUUGAGCCAACCUAUAGUCAAUAGAUAGAGGUACCUUUACCAUAUUCCAAAUCAUCUAGAAACGUGUUUCAUUUCACAAUUCUCACUUUCUCUAUAAACGUUUCUUUUGUUUACUUUCCCUCACUAAGAAUUUAGCCGAAGUGUUUUUCGAGAAAGUCUUUUUGCGAGUGAGGAAGUUGUAAUUCUGGAAGGAUACAAUUUUAAGUUCACCAAGGAACUUUUUUUUAUACCUUGGUUGAAAAUUUUAUCCUAUUAUGGAUUAUUUUUUUAGGCUCGAAGCUAAACCCGUAAAAAGAUUAGGUUUGGGAUUUGUGUGAUCAAGUCUCUUGCUUAUCUUCUAGAUCAACCCGGUGACAUAAUCUCAUAUAUUUUUGGUUAGACCGUGAUAAAACCAAGAUUAGGUUAAAACAUAGUCCUAUAUUAAAAUCUUGUUUCGGUUUGAGAUCAACUCGAUGGUAAAAUCUCAUAGGUUAUUUGUUAGCCCAUUAUAAAGUCAAUGUUUAGGUUCGAGAGCUCAUCUUGGUGUUAAAAGCUCCUAAAGUUUAUUUGAAGCUUGAAGACUAAGCACUCCAAGAUUCUUAUGGAAAGGAGACUAACCACUUAGAUCCUCUGUUUGGAAGGAAGACUCACCGCUUCGCUUCAUAGUUUGUUGUUUGGUUGGAAGUUAGCCAUAAACUUCUUUUUUCCUUGUAUAAGGGGGUUCGAGAGUUUAAACUACUAAAACUCUUAAGUUUAUUGGAUAAUCUCAAGAAUAAUUCUUGGGGAGAGGAUUAGGUAUUUUUCUCUUUUGACGGAACCUCUAUAAUUUCCAGUGUCUUCUCUUUUCCCUUAACUCUUUAAUGUACACACUUUAGUUUCUGAAAGUUUAUUUUUUCCACUACAUAACUUUAGAGUUUUUCUAAAAAUAUUUUCUAACUCGGAUUUUAAUUCUAAUUUUUUUCAAAACUAUGUUUUUUUGAAACAAAUCAUUCACCCCCUCUUGUGUACGAAGUCACAUGUCCAACACAACUGACACAAGACACGCCGAAAGGCAUCCUUUUUAAGAGGAUCCUCAUAAAAAACUUCCUCUAGUUGAGCAUCUAACGUAACCUGUUUCUCCUGAAGAUUUUAUACUCCUUUCACAAGACUUUCCUCUCAUUCUGCCAACGCUUUUAUUGUACACUGAAGAACAACAAAUUCAAUCUCCGCCUCGAGCUUACUCUGAUAGACGUCAUCCUCCAUCUUCUUAAGUUGGUUCUUGAGGUCAUUCAUUUGCCUAACUAAUUUAGUCGGAGAUCCAUGAAGAUGAUCUUUUUCAGAAAGGAGGGAUGACCGCCCUAGACGACCCUACUUCUCUAGAGAAUCCUUUUAAUCCCAACCUUCUUUACCUCACUAGGGUUAUAACGAGUCCUCAAUGAUGUAACCUCCCGGGAUAAAAAAACAGAUGCAAAAAAUGUUUCAAGACCGACAACUAACUGAUUAAAGAGUGGUACCGUUCUCAUCACAUUGGUGGCUAUCUUCUUUACCAGGUCAAACCUACCAGAAGGGGGGAGUGGACUAACGUAGGCGUAAUCCCUUGCAGGCACAAAAUUGUUUAUCCCGUCUAUUGAUUGAAGAAAAUGACUAUCCAACAUUGAAGGUAGUCGAAGAGAAGCAUUUCCUUCCCUUUUAAUAUGAUCAACUACAGGAGCAACUUUCACUCCCCUCGACCUCUUUACUCGAUCUUGGCCAGCGACAAAUGAAUUGGUCAUGUCAUGCUUCUUCUUAGAUUGACAUUCCGAAUGAGGCAAAAAAAACAGAGGGACCCCGAGUUCCAGUAUAAUUAUGUUCCCAAUAACAUGACCUUUCUUGAACCUAUAUGAAAAAGUAAGAAAGAUCAACGAAUGAGAACUAAAUAAGUCCAUGUAUCCACGAAGAAAAAAGAUAUAAAAUGAAUUACCAAACACUCCUUUCCGUCCUUCCACAAAACUAGCUUUUUCCACUUUCAUACAGUGUAACAUCUCAUUAGAAAACAAGAGCAAAAUCGCUUUCAUAUCCCCCAUCAACCUGGUUUAGAGCUUCAAAGGAACCUAGUAAUAUUUAGGACCUUUAGAGAAAUGGUCAGGUUACCAGAAUCGUCACCUUCGGUCUGUGUAUUUAACUUGUCCAAUAGAAGGGGGAGAGACAACACAAAAUUCCUCGUGAGAAAGAGGAUAAAGGAAGUAAUCGUUCUUGAAAUACUUCCAUCUGUCGAUGUAGAUCUUGAAGAUCCAAUUCUUAAUAGAACAUAGAGAAACAAGCCCAUGACCAAUGACAUCCUUUGGGACAUGAUUUACCUCAAAGAGAUGCAAAAUAGGUCUCGAGAAGCUGGAGCCAUUUUCUAUGGUAUUCAUACAAAUACUAGAAUACUCUAACAAAACUCCAAGCACAUGGAUGAAGUUACGAAUGGUGAAUGCAUAGAUGGUCCAGAAAAUGAAGGAUUAAAAGGGGAUAACGCACCCUUCAAACUUGUGGCAUAUCCUUUUCUCAGAUGAAAUUGAAAAAAUAUCCCAAUCGGAGGAAACCCCUAUUUCCAAAAAAGCAGGGCAUAUUUCUUCCCCUUGAACGAAAAUAGAUUCGUAGGCUAAAUAGGUUGACUCGACCCAAGAGUAAUCUUCUACCGCUAUCACUUCCAUCAAAUUGGUUAGGUAAGCAAAUAUCUAAGUUUACAAAAUGAAACAGGUUAAUACGAUGAUGAUGGACGAAUAGGUAACGACAACAGAAAAGAGGAAAACUUGAGAACAAUGUCUAGCUUUUGUAAGAAGGGAUAAUACAAGGAUUGAUAGUUCAGAUUGAACAACAGGAGAAAAUAUGAGGGUAAUCAAUAUAUUGUCCCAUGAAUCCAAACGAUGACAAAAAAAACUUAAGUACCCUUUGUAGGGCAAUCGAUCCCUAACCUACACGCGUAGGGCGACGUGUUGGCAAGAAGAAGUGAAAAUGGCCCAUUGAUAAGAAAGCAUUAAAUGCGCUUGUCCCGUACUAUUUAUGCGACAAACUCUAAAUGUUUCAAUUUUGGAACAACAAAUAUGAAUUCUCAGAAAACCGACUCCAGUCACUAAAGACUCCUCAGUAUCCAAGGUACCCGGUAAGUCUUGGGGGCAACUGUUCUGCACCGGCCAAAAGACCCAUAAUAGCAAAGUCCGUAUUGGUUCACGCUGCUCAACCCAAGGUAUAAAUACCCUUCCACACCAAUUUCAAUUGCAUUCUCUAAUUUCUAGUAUUCACUACACUCAUCUUUAAUCUUAAACUGACUUCGAUGUUAGAAUGCUAUUCACCCCGCACCAUCGUAAAAGAGAUCAAUACCAUAGUUUAAGACCACCAAUUCUUCAACUAUAUUCAUUUCAGAUUCAUGAAGUGAACAACUAUAAUUAGAACUAAAAAGAUUAAAAUCAUUCCGCCCAAAAAUGAUCAUUACCAAUAAUUCUAAAUCCUAAGUGUUAAGUCCUAAUUCUACCUUUAUAAAUAUUUUAAUCAAUCCAAAAUUCUUCCACCCAAAUUAAUCAUUAUCUUAGAUGAUUAACAAAUUUAGCAAAUUUGAUAUGUAAACGGUCCUCAACAGAACCAUACUUUUAAUUAUCCAAAUUCACUCUUAGACUAAGAUUUCUUUUCUGUUUUUUUUUUCUAUCAUCUCCUAUUUGACUUUGUUUUUUAAUGAACAAGAAGAAAUAAAAUUAAUUAUUGGGUCUCCAAUGUUUAACCAAUUUCAAAUUUGCGUACCUAGACAUGUUUUUUUCUUCUUCUUAUGAAAUGGUUUGGGAUCACGUCACAUCUAGUAGUUUAGUGUUACGAUCAUGGAGUCCCAAAUCA